rnacentral:rRNA from 1 species
GGUCAGCUCGUGUCGUGAGAUGUGGGUUAAGUCCCGCAACGAGCGCAACCCCUACGUUUAGUUGCUAACGCGUGAAGGCGAGCACUCUAGACGAACUGCCGUUGACAAAACGGAGGAAGGUGGGGAUGACGUCAAAUCAUCAUGCCCCUUAUGUUCUGGGCUACACACGUGCUACAAUGGCCGGUACAGACGGACGCAAAGCCGCGAGGUGGAGCAAAUCCUAAAAAAGCCGGUCUCAGUUCGGAUUGCAGGCUGCAAUUCGCCUGCAUGAAGUCGGAAUCGCUAGUAAUCGCAGGUCAGCAUACUGCGGUGAAUACGUUCCCGGGCCUU